rnacentral:rRNA from 1 species
GAUGAACGCUGGCGGCGUGCCUAAUACAUGCAAGUCGAGCGAACAGAUGAGGAGCUUGCUCCUCUGACGUUAGCGGCGGACGGGUGAGUAACACGUGGAUAACCUACCUAUAAGACUGGGAUAACUUCGGGAAACCGGAGCUAAUACCGGAUAAUAUAUUGAACCGCAUGGUUCAAUAGUGAAAGACGGUUUUGCUGUCACUUAUAGAUGGAUCCGCGCCGCAUUAGCUAGUUGGUAAGGUAACGGCUUACCAAGGCAACGAUGCGUAGCCGACCUGAGAGGGUGAACGGCCACACUGGAACUGAGACACGGUCCAGAGUCCGACGGGAGGCAGCGAUAGGGAAUCGUCCGAAAUGGGCGAAAGCCUGACGGAGCAACGCCGCGUGGGUGAUGAGGGUCUUCGGAUCGUAAAACUCUGUUAUUAGGGAAGAACAAAUGUGUAAGUAACUAUGCACGUCUUGACGGUACCUAGUCAGAAAGCCACGGCUAACUACGUG